GCGGACACGGCCCAGGAGGGAGAAGCGUUUGGUUGAAAAAAGGGUUGCUUUUGUAUUUCAAGAAUAUAACAUGGACAGUGUGCUUAAGAUUUCCUUGGCACUGUUGCUUCCCUUAGUGACACACGCCAACAUCGAGUAUGCAACAACUCACGAGAUGGAAGAGUUUGCUAAGUUCAUAGGACCAGUGGAUCUGGCCGGCUUUAACAAUGACAGCUGCUCUGCCUCCAAUAUUGAAGAUAACGUCAUUUGUCAGGUGAAUUCGACAAGCUUUGGUAACUGCCAGCGUCAGUGUCUCCGCAAUGCCUACAGAUGUCAAACUGCACAGUACUCGGCCAACAGCAACAAGUGCACUGUCUACUUGGACAAUACAACGCGAGGCUGUGAUAACUUGGGGGUCACCAAUCUCAGGCAGUAUUCCAGGAGCGGCUGGUCAGACUCUUGAUCUAGCGGGGAAACCUGGGGGGUCACAUACACCAAGCUAUACGACUUUACCGGACUCCGUGUGCGAUUUGCCGGGAAUUUGAGGGUUAGUGCGAACGUUAACAAUUACGCAGCACGAUUUUACUUUAAGUUCAACGGGCAAGAAUGCUCAAAUCCUGCCACCAUUGAAUACGUUGGCAAAAACACAGGCAACCAGAGAAACCAAAGGAAACAUGAUGAAUUUGAAGGUAUCUGCGAGGGUUUGGCGGCCGGAAGUAUAAACAUUGCCAUGUUUACGGGCAGUGUACCGGGUCAUAGUGUUAGCGGUGCAAAAAUAGGCUGGGACACAGCCAAUAGGAUUUUAGUGGAGGAAGUGGA